rnacentral:tRNA from 1 species
GUCCCUGUAGCGCAAUGGAUAACGCGUUGGACUCCUAAUCCAAAGGUUGUGGGUUCGAAUCCUAGCUGGGGUG